rnacentral:miRNA from 1 species
UAGAUCUUUCCCCUCCAUCCA